rnacentral:rRNA from 1 species
AGUGAACGCUGGCGGUAGGCCUAACACAUGCAAGUCGAACGGCAGCACAAUAAGAGCUUGCUCUUACGGGUGGCGAGUGGCGGACGGGUGAGGAAUACAUCGGAAUCUACUUUUUCGUGGGGGAUAACGUAGGGAAACUUACGCUAAUACCGCAUACGACCUACGGGUGAAAGCAGGGGAUCUUCGGACCUUGCGCGAUUGAAUGAGCCGAUGUCGGAUUAGCUAGUUGGCGGGGUAAAGGCCCACCAAGGCGACGAUCCGUAGCUGGUCUGAGAGGAUGAUCAGUCACACUGGAACUGAGACACGGUCCAGACUCCUACGGGAGGCAGCAGCGGGGAAUAUUGGACAAUGGGCGCAAGCCUGAUCCAGCCAUACCGCGUGGGUGAAGAAGGCCUUCGGGUUGUAAAGCCCUUUUGUUGGGAAAGAAAAGCAGCAGGUUAAUACCCCGCUGUUCUGACGGUACCCAAAGAAUAAGCACCGGCUAACUUCGUG